rnacentral:rRNA from 1 species
UGGGGAAUAUUGGACAAUGGGCGAAAGCCUGAUCCAGCCAUGCCGCGUGUGUGAAGAAGGUCUUCGGAUUGUAAAGCACUUUAAGUUGGGAGGAAGGGCAUUAACCUAAUACGUUAGUGUUUUGACGUUACCGACAGAAUAAGCACCGGAUAACUCUGUGCCAGCAGCCGCGGUAAUACAGAGGGUGCAAGCGUUAAUCGGAAUUACUGGGCGUAAAGCGCGCGUAGGUGGUUUGUUAAGUUGGAUGUGAAAUCCCCGGGCUCAACCUGGGAACUGCAUUCAAAACUGACUGACUAGAGUAUGGUAGAGGGUGGUGGAAUUUCCUGUGUAGCGGUGAAAUGCGUAGAUAUAGGAAGGAACACCAGUGGCGAAGGCGACCACCUGGACUAAUACUGACACUGAGGUGCGAAAGCGUGGGGAGCAAACA